GUCAGCCUUGGCCUUGGCUCUGCCCACAUGUUAGCAGAAGAUGAUUCAAGGACAUUAAGCACGCUGGUGGUUCCAAUUCAAAGUGCGUCUAUCUGGGAUUCGGUUUUUUUAAGGAAAUCGCCAGCCUGCCACUUGUUUUGGUAAAUAUCAAGAGUUCAAAUGACCAUGAAACAGAUUCCCAGAUCCCAGAUUGUACCUUUUAAACACAGAAAUAACCUUGGUGAUCUAGAUGGAAACAAACAUGUGACAGCGAGACGAGAUAAUGACUACACAUGCUAAUGGAGGGAGGGACAGAGGUGUACAACAGAAGGACAGUCUCUGAAGUGUCCUACCAAAGAGGAAUACCAGUACUCAACCUGGACUAAAGAAUAAUACAGUACAACAACAACCCAUGUGUUCUCUUUGGAAGGAGGAAUUCACCAAUCACUAAAUGGGAUCUGCACUAAAGAGCAAUAGAGGGACCAUGUAAUACUUGACCUUAUUUGAGGAACAUCUAGCCACCAUGUUAGAACUAGUCUGAAGCAUUCAGAAGGACCGGUACAACAUCUACCCGUCAUCAGCUCUACCAGGAUGGGUCCACAUUGAAGGAGAUCUGAACCCCUGGAUCUCUUCACCAAAGAGGAAUAACACCAGGCUUCUCACCAUGGACUUGGAGGAAAACUCUGUCCUAGACCUGGAGUAGAGGGAGUAGUGGCUCUGUCCUAGACCUGGAG
rnacentral:lncRNA from 1 species